CUACGGGGUGCAGCAGUGGGGAAUAUUGGACAAUGGGGGAAACCCUGAUCCAGCAAUGCCGCGUGUGUGAAGAAGGCCUGCGGGUUGUAAAGCACUUUCGGUUGGGAGGACUGCUUCUAGCACUAAUAUUGUUGGAAGUUGACGUUACCUUCAGAAGAAGCGCCGGCUAACUCCGUGCCAGCAGCCGCGGUAAUACGGAGGGUGCAAGCAUUAAUCGGAAUUACUGGGCGUAAAGCGCGCGUAGGCGGCUAGAUCAGUCGGGUGUGAAAGCCCCGGGCUUAACCUGGGAACUGCAUCCGAUACUGUCUAGCUUGAGUACAGGAGAGGAGAGUGGAAUUCCACAUGUAGCGGUGAAAUGCGUAGAUAUGUGGAGGAACACCAAUGGCGAAGGCAGCUCUCUGGCCUGAUACUGACGCUGAGGUGCGAAAGCGUGGGGAGCAAACAGGAUUAGAUACCCGGGUAGUC
rnacentral:rRNA from 1 species